CCACAUGACAACCAAGAUCAGGACACUGGAACUCUCAGAUCACCAGGGCUGAGUUCUCCCUUGCUUUGAAGGCGAGAUCACGGGCUGCACGUAGAGAUGAGUGAAGAUGUUUGCUGCUAAUCCUGUUGGCUGGGAUGUGUUGGCAUCACCCCAGCUAUUUUGUGGUCAUGAAGUACUGUCCUGCACCAGAUCCUGAUGCACUUACUGACUGUGAACAUGACUGCAGACCCAGGACAGCCAAGUGCUAGCCCAUACAACUGAGGUUGUCAUGAUCUGGCCCCAUCGUCUCUUUCAGUGAGUGGCAAUCUCUCCUCUGAUCCAUGUGGACAUUUUGUGAAGUCCUUAAUUUCAAGCCUUGCAGCUUGCACAUGUGUGCCUGUCAGCCACCAGGGACUAGUAAGAUUCCAGUGAGAACUGGCACUUUUGAUUUUCCUUGCCUUGCACUGGGAGAUAUAUGAGAGUUUGUUUAUGUGAGAUUUGGGAGAACAAAGGCAAAUUAAAUCCCACCCUUCCAAUAAGAUAUAUAUUUUUUCAACCUUGAAGUAAAUUUUCUAUGUCUGUGUGUUUUGGCUUUUAAACUCAAUAGCCUGCAGGCAUUCACCACGUCAGCGAAGAAAUGGAAAGCUCAUUAUUACACUAUUAGAAGGUUUAAGACUGAAAACCAGAGUCUAUAACAACAGCGAAUAGGAUAUCAAAGACAUGUCCCUCUGCUUGAUCCUUCCAUGGAACUAGAGCUGGACCGAUGCUGUGAAGGGUGUUUUGUUGUGCCUGCACACUCCCCAACCAUUUCAGAAUGUUGAGGUGGGAAGACCCUAUUCUUCGAGGAGAAAACAAGCAGUGUGGAAAAUAGGGAGGAAAUGCAUCAAUGCAUUUUGAAAGAUGGAAACAACAGCAGAAAGGAGAGCAAGAGGUGGAGUGACUUAACAUCGCGCAAAGUACAAGGUGCUUCUGUAGAUGUCUUUGUACGAAUUGUUUCAUGACCUAUCAUGAAUCACCCAGGGACAAGAUUCCCUUGUGUUCUCAGGAAUUUCCACCCUACUGGGUGUAGUCUCAAAACACCAUUUUCCUUGCAAAAUUGUCUCACUCAUUUUUCAGUCUUUUCUAUUCAUACAUUUAAAUAGGAAGCAGGGGGAAAGAAACUCAGUUGGGAGCAACAUGUGGAGACAACACAAGUUAUUCCUGUUUCACCAUUUUCUUGGCAUUGAUUUCCUCUGUCAAACAAUACUUCAAAUUUGGGACUUCUGUGUUCGUACUCCCCGUUGCUUCUUACUUCCUUGGAAGCAUCAGGAAGGACUUAUGGUAUUGCUACAGCAGCUCUUACAGGAAAAGAAAUGAAUUGAGAAACACACUUCAAAUAAUGGAAGAAUGAAUUAUUUCACCAUUUUAGCCAUUUCCCAGGAGGGAGAGUAGAGGGAGAAAAUGCAUUUAACACUCUAAAAUAUUAAAAUAACAGGAACCACAUCAACUUCACCCCUCUGGACUUCAACCAAACUGACUGAUUUAGGUAAAUUCCCGGUAGAUCCAAGUGGCAAACUCCAUCAGAGAAUAUUUCUAAGCAUGGCAAGGGAAUUUCUCUAUACUAAUGAUAUUAUGAACUGAAUCAGCUAAUUUGGAGUUCUUUGGACUUAGGCCUGGUUUCUGGCAGAGGAGCAGAAUAUUUUUGAAAUAUGAACUCCCCCUUCAGUAUAGAGACCGAUCCUGUUUUCGUGGACAGUAUUCAUGGAAAAUCACUUUCUUGAAGCUGUAUUUGAAAUGUAUUUUUUAAUGAGAGAUAUUAUUCCCUUGAACUUCUGGAAUAGGCUUUAAAUAUUCACAGCAGUAACUAACAGGCAAUGAGACGAAGGGGACUGUACUUGAUUUCUGAGAUUUACUGGUUACAUAUACAGAACAAAGCAAAGCAGCACACUUUCUAAAUAUUUAAAUACAGCAUACAAAUACCAUCCUGAUUUUGUUCAUGUUCUCACUGAAAAUUUUAAUGGCAGUUUUGCAGAAAGCAAAAUACAGGCUACACUGAAAAGAAAUUACAAGCAAUUCUAUAGCAUCCUUUGUGUUUUGACAUAGCAGUGAAGGUGUUUGGUAGUUCUAGCUAACUAAAAAGAUGCAAUUACAAAAUACCUGUUUGUGUAGGUGCAAGAUCUUGAACCCUCAUUGAAGUCGGUGUGCUCAAAUGGAGCCAUCUGGGAAGUGGGAUCAUGCAACCCAACCUGUCAAUAUCAGCAUUACUGUUUGAUUUGAGUGGAAAACGUGGAGCCAAGUAGGUUGCCCAGGGAGGUGGUAGAGACUCCGUCCCUGAAGUUUUUCAAGAAACAUGUAGAUGUCACCUUGACUGUCAUGGUUUAGUAGUAUGGUUGUGAUGUGUUAAUGGCUGGACUAGAUGAUCAUAGUGGUCUUUCCAACCUUAAUGAUCCUAUGAUUCUAAGCCAGAGGGCUUCACUUACUUCUACAAGCCAUUUCUUGAGCAAAAAAAUAGUCUCAGGAAGUGUAUCUUAAUAGAGAGAUUUUGUUCCACAGCUGAAUUUCCCCAGUGGAAAUGCCUCACCUUUUAAAUGAAAAAUCAGGUCUUUGUGUUUCUGCUGCUUGUUGCCACUGUAGUUCUGCUUAUAAGAAGCAUCUCAAGUAACUGGCCCCAAAAGUCAGGAAAGGACCUCAACUCUGUGCCUAAUUAUUGGAGAAAAGCACCCUGAGGUAAACCAGCCUGUCCUGAAACAGAACUGGGGAGACUGCUCAGAAACAGAAAACGUCUGAGUUGGGAAGGGUUUAGCCUUUGAGGACAGAGCUGCUCAGAACAGCUGGAUGGCUGCCCGCUCUGGAACUGGAGCAUGGGACAGUUUAUAAACUUAAAGCAAAUUUUCCAACCUUAUGGGAUUUUCCUUAUGGUCUGUUCUCAGUGGAGCAGCAUUAUUAUUGUAAAUAGAUGCUCUUUUUGUCCCAUCUCCCAAGGGAGAAAAAAUAAUGUUAUGUUUGAAAAUGUAUGUUUUUCCCACUCAGUACUGAAGCAGUUCCUUUCCAUAAAGUCUGCAGAAACUGAGCUUUAGCAGAUACUGUUAAUAUCGUUACUUCAAAGUUCUGUCUAAAUGCCUUUGCCAAGGAGUCUUUAAUAAAAGACGUGGCCUCUGUCCUCUUAGAA